rnacentral:rRNA from 1 species
GAUGAACGCUGGCGGCGUGCCUAAUACAUGCAAGUCGAGCGAACAGACGAGGAGCUUGCUCCUCUGACGUUAGCGGCGGACGGGUGAGUAACACGUGGAUAACCUACCUAUAAGACUGGGAUAACUUCGGGAAACCGGAGCUAAUACCGGAUAAUAUAUUGAACCGCAUGGUUCAAUAGUGAAAGACGGUUUUGCUGUCACUUAUAGAUGGAUCCGCGCCGCAUUAGCUAGUUGGUAAGGUAACGGCUUACCAAGGCAACGAUGCGUAGCCGACCUGAGAGGGUGAUCGGCCACACUGGAACUGAGACACGGUCCAGACUCCUACGGGAGGCAGCAGUAGGGAAUCUUCCGCAAUGGGCGAAAGCCUGACGGAGCAACGCCGCGUGAGUGAUGAAGGUCUUCGGAUCGUAAAACUCUGUUAUUAGGGAAGAACAAAUGUGUAAGUAACUAUGCACGUCUUGACGGUACCGAAUCAGAAGGCCACGGCUAACUACGU